UACAGAGACCUCAAGCAUUAUCCGGAUUUAUUGGGCGUAAAGCGCUCGCAGGUGGUUCGUUGCGUCGUGCGUGAAAGACCCCGGCUCAACUGGGGGGUGUCGUGCGAUACGGGCGAACUGGAGGCCAGUAGGGGGAUGCGGAAUUCCGGGUGUAGUGGUGGAAUGCGUAGAGAUCCGGAGGAACACCAGCGGCGAAGGCGGCAUCCUGGACUGGUCCUGACACUCAGGAGCGAAAGCGUGGGGAGCGAUCCGG
rnacentral:rRNA from 1 species